rnacentral:rRNA from 1 species
ACGGAGGGUGCAAGCGUUAAUCGGAAUUACUGGGCGUAAAGCGCGCGUAGGCGGCUAAAUCAGUCGGGUGUGAAAGCCCCGGGCUCAACCUGGGAACUGCAUUCGAUACUGUUUAGCUAGAGUAUGGGAGAGGGUAGUGGAAUUCCAUGUGUAGCGGUGAAAUGCGUAGAUAUGUGGAGGAACACCCGUGGCGAAGGCGACUGCCUGGCCCAAUACUGACGCUGAGGUGCGAAAGCGUGGGUAGCGAACAGG